UACUCAGGUGAAUAUGAUAUUUGUGGUGUUACUCUGGGUAUACACUCAGAGUAUCACCACAAAUAUCAUAUUCACCUGAGUA
rnacentral:miRNA from 1 species